rnacentral:tRNA from 1 species
UCCCAUGUGGCUCAGUUGGUAGAGUAUGGUGUUUGCAACGCCAGGGUUGUGGGUUUGAUUCCCACGGGGGAC